UACGUAGGGUGCAAGCGUUAAUCGGAAUUACUGGGCGUAAAGCGUGCGCAGGCGGUCAUGCAAGACAGAUGUGAAAUCCCCGAGCUUAACUUGGGAACUGCAUUUGUGACUGCAUGGCUUGAGUGCGGCAGAGGGGGAUGGAAUUCCGCGUGUAGCAGUGAAAUGCGUAGAUAUGCGGAGGAACACCGAUGGCGAAGGCAAUCCCCUGGACCUGCACUGACGCUCAUGCACGAAAGCGUGGGGAGCAAACAGG
rnacentral:rRNA from 1 species